AUCCGGGUUGCGGACAGUGUCUGGUGGGUAGUUUGACUGGGGCGGUCUCCUCCCAAAGAGUAACGGAGGAGCACGAAGGUUAGCUAAUCCUGGUCGGACAUCAGGAGGUUAGUGCAAUGGCAUAAGCUAGCUUGACUGCGAGAGUGACGGCUCGAGCAGGUGCGAAAGCAGGUCAUAGUGAUCCGGUGGUUCUGAAUGGAAGGGCCAUCGCUCAACGGAUAAAAGGUACUCCGGGGAUAACAGGCUGAUACCGCCCAAGAGUUCAUAUCGACGGCGGUGUUUGGCACCUCGAUGUCGGCUCAUCACAUCCUGGGGCUGAAGUAGGUCCCAAGGGUAUGGCUGUUCGCCAUUUAAAGUGGUACGCGAGCUGGGUUUAGAACGUCGUGAGACAGUUCGGUCCCUAUCUGCCGUGGGCGCUGGAGAAUUGAGGGGGGCUGCUCCUAGUACGAGAGGACCGGAGUGGACGCAUCACUGGUGUUCGGGUUGUCAUGCCAAUGGCACUGCCCGGUAGCUAAAUGCGGAAGAGAUAAGUGCUGAAAGCAUCUAAGCACGAAACUUGCCCCGAGAUGAGUUCUCCCUGAG
rnacentral:rRNA from 1 species